CAUCAAUAGGGUGGUCUGUGCUAUGUGAUUGCAUUGUUACUGCUGGAGUGAGCAAUUUCAGAUUGCGUCAUGAUGGCGUGCCCCGUUAGCGUCGUGAUCGGCGUGCCCUGUUAGCGUCAUGGUUGGCGUGCCCUGUGUUAGCGUCAUGAUUGGCGUGCCCUGUGUUAACACGAUAUGUUUUAUUUAUUCGUGUGCUGUGAUUUCAACACCAGCAUUGGUCAGAGGAGACUCGCAAGCAGCAAGGAAAGGAGGAAAGGAGGCUGCUCUUCAUCAGCCAGAAGUUUGAUACAAAGGAGUACACAAGUUGAUUUCAUUACUUAUAAGCAAAGUCAAUUUUUUGGAUAUAGAUGGGCAGCAAUUUUAUCGAGCCAUGACAUCUGAUUUCUGUUAUCCUGCUUAUGGUGACCUGUCACUUGAUGAUAAGCCAAACCUAAGUUGCCUCUAGGAAUUAUGAAUGUCAAAUUUGGGACACAGCUGUGCAGUUUUUUUAUCGAGUUCUGACAUCUGAAGACCACCAUUAUUACCUGUUGACGGGACCAAGAAAAGGAAUUUUGCCGGUAUCAUCGCAUAACUUCCGCCAAAUACCAAGUAAUCUCCCUGUGGACUCCUUUGUCAAACUUCUAGCUGAUGAAGAGGAG